rnacentral:tRNA from 1 species
UGCAUCGGCCGGGAAUCGAACCCGCGUGGCAGGCGAGUAUUUUACCACUGAACUACCGAUGC